UGGGGAAUCUUGCGCAAUGGGCGAAAGCCUGACGCAGCAACGCCGCGUGCGGGAUGAAGGCCUUCGGGUUGUAAACCGCUUUCAGCAGGGACGAAAUUGACGGUACCUGCAGAAGAAGCACCGGCCAACUACGUGCCAGCAGCCGCGGUAAUACGUAGGGUGCAAGCGUUGUCCGGAUUUAUUGGGCGUAAAGAGCUCGUAGGCGGCUUGGCAAGUCGGGUGUGAAAACUUCAGGCUCAACCUGGAGAUGCCACUCGAGACUGCCAUGGCUGGAGUCUGGUAGGGGAGCACGGAAUUCCUGGUGUAGCGGUGAAAUGCGCAGAUAUCAGGAGGAACACCGGUGGCGAAGGCGGUGCUCUGGGCCAGUACUGACGCUGAGGAGCGAAAGCGUGGGUAGCAAACAG
rnacentral:rRNA from 1 species